rnacentral:lncRNA from 1 species
UAUACUUGUUUACAGAUUUUAGAUCCAUUCAAAUGAGUGACUGGACACCGUGGCCAAUUGCAUGUCAGUGCUACUGUUAAAGUGAACCAUCAAUCACCAUAUCAUAAGCCAUCCAUCUACCCGCGGUCAAGCUUUGGACUCAACCAUACAUAUCAAUGACAAAUAUAUUUCGCAUAAUAGAAGCCAAUGGAUCAUGCAUCUAUGGAAUAAUAAUAGUGCAGAGCAAAUGAAGUGCAGGAAUAGUGCUCUAUACCUAUACCAAGCUCGCAUUAUUCAUGGCUUGUAGCGUUGCCUUGAAUAUAAAUAUAUACCCUUGUUGUUGGUAGUCUCAGGCUCUUAGCUUCAUACGACCACUCUCCCUAUGUUAUAAGUUGUGCGUGGCUGCUAGUAAUGAGUGGCUUAAAACGAGUGCAACAGUAUGAGUCUAUGAGGAGGGAUGGAGUGAAAGAUUGGGUGAUCGAAGAACAACAAAGCUCAUUGUGAGUAGGAGACAUCUGGAACAACGUUACCUACCGUGCAGGAUAUUGAUGUAGAAAACUAAUCAAGCUAUGGAGUGCACAUAUGUAAUUUGGAGUGUAACUUUUCCUUUCCUCUUCCUUUCGAGUUAAAUGAAUGAGCGGUCC